UACAGAGGGUGCGAGUGUUAAUCGGAAUUACUGGGCGUAAAGCGCGCGUAGGCGGCAUUGCAAGUCGGGUGUGAAAUCCCCAGGCUUAACCUGGGAACUGCAUUCGAGACUGCAUUGCUAGAGUAUGGGAGAGGGAAGUGGAAUUUCCGGUGUAGCGGUGAAAUGCGUAGAUAUCGGAAGGAACAUCAGUGGCGAAAGCGACUUCCUGGACCAAUACUGACGCUCAUGUGCGAAAGCGUGGGGAGCAAACAGG
rnacentral:rRNA from 1 species